rnacentral:rRNA from 1 species
GACGAACGCUGGCGGCGUGCUUAACACAUGCAAGUCGAACGAUGAAGCCUAGCUUGCUAGGUGGAUUAGUGGCGAACGGGUGAGUAAUACGUGAGUGACCUACCUUUGACUCUGGGAUAAGCCUGGGAAACUGGGUCUAAUACCGGAUACGACCAAUCUCCGCAUGGGGUGUUGGUGGAAAGCGUUAUGGAGUGGUUUUAGAUGGGCUCACGGCCUAUCAGCUUGUUGGUGAGGUAAUGGCUUACCAAGGCGACGACGGGUAGCCGGCCUGAGAGGGUGACCGGCCACACUGGGACUGAGACACGGCCCAGAUUCCUACGGGAGGCAGCAGUGGGGAAUAUUGCACAAUGGGCGCAAGCCUGAUGCAGCGACGCCGCGUGAGGGAUGACGGCCUUCGGGUUGUAAACCUCUGUUAGCAUCGAAGAAGCGAAAGUGACGGUAGUGCAG